rnacentral:lncRNA from 10 species
CCCGGAAGCUGAGACAAGAAACUGAAAAAAAAAGGAAAGUGAGCAACAAGAUAAUGUAAGUCACAACUGAGCCAAUUAAGGAGCAGGAGAUGCAGCAGCAUGUCCCAAACAAAACUGAUUGGAGGUCAAGUGUGGACAACCAGAGCAAGUUCUUGCACAGCUAAUGUAUCCCCAGGUGUGAACUGAGUAACAUGAAGAAAGGCAUCCUCCUGCCACCUCCUGAAUCAGUAGAAAAAGACAAAAGCUUUUGAUGGGAUUAUGCUGGAGUCCAUGUCAUGGAACCAAACUGGAAAUUUUCUGAUUCAACUGGCUCAUGGUUUGUACCGGGGGAACCAAGCCCAUGGUUGGGAUCCAGGGGUCCCUCCAGUCUCCUGUUCCAUGGUCGCACACACCUUGAGGGCACCCACACGGUUUGAUCGUCUCCUUAUAUUGCUGCUGGCAGACUCGUGACGGGGUUUCUCAUUCAUCUGGGUGUACAAGAAGCAUGGUGCCAGCAUCUGCUCAGCUUCUGAUGAGGGCUCUGGGAAGCUUUUACUCAUGGAGGAAGGCAAGGGGAACCAGCAUGUCACAUGAUGAGAAAGGAAGCAUGAGAGAGAGGUGCCAGACUCUUCAACAACCAGAAGAGAAAGUCAGAGAGAAUCAAAGCAUGUGAAGAGAGACCUCACGCAAGGAGGUCUAGGAGCCUAGAGUGAUCUUCAGCCAACAGUCAAAAAGAUAACUGGGACAACCACAAGGAACUGACUUCUAUAAGAGAAAUGAGCCUGGAAAAGGACUCCAAGCUUCAGAUGAAAAUGUAGUUGGCUGACACUUUGAUUUUAGUCUUGUGAAACCCUAAGCAGAGAAUCCAAGUAAGUCCCCCUGAAC